AAUAAGCGCAGUUGUGAGUUUUAGUGUCCAACUUUGACCGUCCGUCUUAUUUGAAAUUUUUUAUUACUAUUUUUAUUGUUAUUAGAUGAUAAAAUAUAAAUAUUACUUUAUGCGUGACUUAAUUUUUUAAAAAAAUUCAUAAAUUUUUCAAAUAAGACGGAUGGUCAAACGUUGGACACGGAAACUUACGGCUGCACUUAAA
rfam:Oryza nivara chromosome 8, whole genome shotgun sequence.